GACGAACGCUGGCGGCGUGCCUAAUACAUGCAAGUCGAACGCAGUGGGGACGGGUGAGUAACACGUGGCUGACCUCCCAUCAGAGGGGAUAACACUUGGAUACAGCCGCUAAACCGAUACUGAUGGAUGGACUCGCGGUGCAUUAGCUAGUGGGUGAGGCAACGGCUAACCAAGGCGACGAUGCAUAGCCGGCCUGAGAGGGGGAUCGGCCACACGGGAACUGAGACACGGCCCAGACUCCUACGGGAGGCAGCAGUAGGGAAUAUUCGGCAAUGGACGAAAGUCUGACCGAGCAACGCCGCGUGAGUGAAGAAGGUUUUCGGAUCGUAAAACUCUGUUGUUAGAGAAGCGGUAUCUGACCAAAAAGCCACGGCUAACUACGUGCCAGCAGCCGCGGUAAUAC
rnacentral:rRNA from 1 species